rnacentral:rRNA from 1 species
CAGCCCCUCGAGUGGUGGGGAUGAUUAUUUGGCCUAAAGCGUCCGUAGCCGGCCGGGUAAGUUUCCCGUUAAAUCCAGCGUCUCAAGCGUUGGACUGCGGGAAAUACUGCCUGGCUAGAGAGUGGGAGAGGUCUGCGGUAUUCUGGGGGUAGGGGCGAAAUCCUUUGAUCCCCGGAGGACCACCAGUGGCGAAGGCUGCAGACUAGAACACGUCUGACGGUCAGGGACGAAAGCUGGGGUAGCGAACCGGAUUAGAUACCCGAGUAGUCC